AGUGAACGCUGGCGGUAGGCCUAACACAUGCAAGUCGAACGGCAGCACAGUAAGAGCUUGCUCUUACGGGUGGCGAGUGGCGGACGGGUGAGGAAUACAUCGGAAUCUACUUUUUCGUGGGGGAUAACGUAGGGAAACUUACGCUAAUACCGCAUACGACCUACGGGUGAAAGCAGGGGAUCUUCGGACCUUGCGCGAUUGAAUGAGCCGAUGUCGGAUUAGCUAGUUGGCGGGGUAAAGGCCCACCAAGGCGACGAUCCGUAGCUGGUCUGAGAGGAUGGUCAGCCACACUGGCACUGAGACACGGUCCAGACUCCUACGGGAGGCAGCAGUGGGGAAUAUUGGACAAUGGGCGCAAGCCUGAUCCAGCCAUACCGCGUGGGUGAAGAAGGCCUUCUGGUUGUAAAGCCCUUUUGUUGGGAAAGAAAAGCAGCAGGUUAAUACCCCGCUGUUCUGACGGUACCCAAAGAAUAAGCACCGGCUAACUUCGUG
rnacentral:rRNA from 1 species